rnacentral:rRNA from 1 species
UACGAAGGGGGCUAGCGUUGCUCGGAAUCACUGGGCGUAAAGGGUGCGUAGGUGGCGCUGUAAGUCGGGUGUGAAAUUUCGGAGCUUAACUCCGAAACUGCAUUCGAUACUGCGGUGCUUGAGGACUGGAGAGGAGACUGGAAUUCAUGGUGUAGCAGUGAAAUGCGUAGAGAUCAUGAGGAAGACCAGUGGCGAAGGCGGGUCUCUGGACAGUUCCUGACACUGAGGCACGAAGGCCAGGGGGAGGCAAACGGG